rnacentral:sRNA from 1 species
AAUUGGUUUUGGAUUAAAAUUGGUUGAGUUAUUCACAGUUUAGUGAGACACGUUUUCUCAGACGCGAAUUAGGACCAGCGAGAAUUGUAACUAC